rnacentral:rRNA from 1 species
AGAGUUUGAUCAUGGCUCAGGAUGAACGCUAGCGACAGGCUUAACACAUGCAAGUCGAGGGGCAGCGGGGGAGUAGCAAUACUCCCGCCGGCGACCGGCGCACGGGUGAGUAACACGUAUGAAACCUGCCCGUAGCAGGGGGAUAAGCGGAAGAAAUUCCGUCUAAUACCGCGUAACAACCCUUGGAGGCAUCUCCUCGGGUUUAAAGGGAGCGAUUCCGGCUACGGAUGGUCAUGCGUCGCAUUAGCUUGUUGGCGGGGUAACGGCCCACCAAGGCGACGAUGCGUAGGGGUUCUGAGAGGAAGGUCCCCCCACACUGGUACUGAGACACGGACCAGACUCCUACGGGAGGCAGCAGUGAGGAAUAUUGGUCAAUGGCCGCAGGGCUGAACCAGCCAAGUCGCGUGAGGGAUGACGGUCCUAUGGAUUGUAAACCUCUUUUGUCAGGGAGCAAAGGGCGCCACGUGUGGCGUUUUGCGAGUACCUGAAGAAAAAGCAUCGGCUAACUCCGUGCCAGCAGCCGCGGUAAUACGGAGGAUGCGAGCGUUAUCCGGAUUUAUUGGGUUUAAAGGGUGCGCAGGCGGAAUGUCAAGUCAGCGGUAAAAUUUCGGGGCUCAACCCCGUCGUGCCGUUGAAACUGGCGUUCUUGAGUGAGCG